rnacentral:misc_RNA from 1 species
GAUGAAGAACGCAGCGAAAUGCGAUAAGUAAUGUGAAUUGCAGAAUUCAGUGAAUCAUCGAAUCUUUGAACGCACAUUGCGCCCGCCAGCACUCUGGCGGGCAUGCCUGUUCGAGCGUCAUUUCAACCAUCAAGCCCCCAGGGGCUUGUGCUGGGGCCCUGCGGCUGCCCGCAGGCCCUGAAAACCAGUGGCGGGCUCGCUAGUCACACCGAGCGCAGUAGCACAUCUCGCUCAGGGCGUGUGGCGGGCUCCUGCCGUGAAACCCCCCACUGUAACCCCAAAGGUUGACCUCGGAUCAGGUAGGAAUACCCGCUGAACUUAAGCAUAUCAAUAAGCGGAGGA